rnacentral:rRNA from 1 species
UGCGCAGGCGGUUGUGUAAGACAGGUGUGAAAUCCCCGGGCUUAACCUGGGAACUGCGCUUGUGACUGCACGACUAGAGUAUGGCAGAGGGGGGUGGAAUUCCACGUGUAGCAGUGAAAUGCGUAGAGAUGUGGAGGAACACCGAUGGCGAAGGCAGCCCCCUGGGCCAAUACUGACGCUCAUGCACGAAAGCGUGGGGAGCAAACA